rnacentral:rRNA from 1 species
AGCGAACGCUGGCGGCAUGCCUAACACAUGCAAGUCGCACGGGGGGGCUUCGGCCUCCCAGUGGCGGACGGGUGAGGAACGCGUAGGGACCUGUCGAGGGGUGGGGGAUAACCGCGGGAAACUGCGGCUAAUACCGCAUGACGCCGCGGCGUGACAGCCGGGGCCAAAGGCGAAAGCCGCCCGCCGAGGGGCCUGCGUCCGAUUAGCUGGUUGGCGGGGUAGCGGCCCACCAAGGCGUCGAUCGGUAGCUGGUCUGAGAGGGUGAUCAGCCACACCGGGACUGAGACACGGCCCGGACUCCUACGGGAGGCAGCAGUGGGGAAUAUUGGACAAUGGGCGCAAGCCUGAUCCAGCAAUGCCGCGUGGGUGAAGAAGGUCUUCGGAUUGUAAAGCCCUUUCGGCGGGGACGAUGGUGACGGUACCCGCAGAAGAAGCCCCGGCUAACUUCGUA